rnacentral:lncRNA from 1 species
UCCAUGCAGAGAUUCCAGCAAGCAUUAUACAGUAUGGGCAGAGGUGUCAUCAUGCCCAACUGAUUCUCAUUUCUUCCUGUCACUCAGCCGACACUCCCGUGCACCGCCCUGGCAGUUUCCCUGGCGGCCUUACAGUAAUAUGCAAAGUGGCGGCAGGUCUCAGACCAAAGGUGAGGUCAUGGGCCUCAAGGACAGGAGCAUGGUCAUUAACUGCAGGUCGUUAUUCACGAGGAGGAAAAUCUACUGGGCAACUGGUCAAACACGUUUUUUCAAAACUCAGAUAUGUGUUUGAGUGCCUGAGUUUACCAUGGCAGCACACACUGGCAGCUGUCUUCCUUGAAUUAUUAGACUCGUUUUUCUCAUUUUCUUAAAAAAAUGUUUAAACUUUUUUUUUUCUUUUAGAGACAAGUCUCUUAUGUAGUGAGACCUCAAAUCCACAGAAAACCUCUGACUCCCAAGUGUUGGGAUUAAAGGGCCAGAACAAACAAGGAACCGAGGAAGUGAUUGGGUCCUGCGGAUCGCGUUACGGAACCUCUGAGGGCUGUACUUGUCCAGGCCAGCCUUCACAUCCUAUCUCACCUCACCUGACCCUUUUCCACCACGAGGGGGGGAUCUGUUUUCUUUGGGCAGCCUCUCCACAUGUGAUGUCCCCGAGCAGAACAGAUGAACCUCAUCAGUGUGGAGUGGCCCUAGAAAGAAGUGAUGCGCUCUGAGAUGUGUUCUCUUUGUGCAGGCCCCCCUCUGUGAGAAGGCACCUGAUAGCUAGUGCUAAUCCUAUGUAAAUCUCUAUUGGCUUCCUGGAAAGAUGGCCUUUGGACACGCUAGCUCGCUAGCUCGGGCUCCUGGAAUUCAUUAUAGAGCACAAGCCAACACUGAAGUCAAAGCAAUCCCCCGGUUUUUGUCACCAAUCUUGCUUUAGAUGGGCUUUGUUGUUUUGUUUAUUUCUGAGACAAGGUUUCUCUGUAGAGGAGGUUUCAAGAUCCUCCUGCCUUGGGAUUAAAGGUAUGUCUGGACUUAAGGUGGUUAGUUUUUUGUUGUUGUUUUGUUUAAAGUUUUAUUUUUUGUGUAGGAGUGUUUUGCUUCUCUCUCUCUCUCUCUCUCUCUCUCUCUCUCUCUCUCUCUGUGUUUGUGUGAGUGUGUGUGUGUUUGUGUAAGUGUGUGUGUGUGUGUACUUAAUAUGUACCUGGUGCCCACAGAUGGCCUGGAACUGCAGAUUAUGAGUUGUCAUGUGGGUGCAGGUGAGUCCUCUGAUGGUGUGUCAAGUCCUCUUUCCUGCUGAGUGGCUCUGGAGUCAUCUUUGCCUCAACACAUUUGUCUCAAAGCUCAAUACUUCGAAGUCACUUUAAAAGUAGAUGGUUUGUAUCACUGAAUAAAUUCACCAGAUGUGGAGGUUGGGCGGUCCAUGCCUGUCUGUAGGACCAGGGUUCAAUUCCCA